UAAUAAGUGUUUUAUGGCACUUUUUAAAUCCAUAUCCACCUUGUGUGCAAUGUCAGUCGAUCUUCUUCAUGGAGACCGACCAAACAUCAACCUUUAUUUUUAACUCUUUGUCUGAAAAAUAUUAUGAAUAAACAAUUCAAAAUA
rnacentral:misc_RNA from 1 species